rnacentral:misc_RNA from 1 species
AAUUCUCAACCCCUCCAGCUUUUGCGAGUUGUGAUGGGGCUUGGAUGUUGGGAGUUUGCGGGUCUUUAUUAAUAAAGGUCGGCUCUCCUGAAAUACAUUAGCGGAACCGUUUGCAGUCCCGUCACUAGUGUGAUAAUUAUCUACACUGUGAUGAUUGCUCUCUGACUAGUUCAGCUGCUAAUCGUCCACUAUGGACAACACUUAAUGAAAU